rnacentral:rRNA from 1 species
CGUUCCCGGGCCUUGUACACACCGCCCGUCACACCACGAAAGUGGGCAACACCCGAAGCCGGUGGCCUAACCCUUGUGGAGGGAGCCGUCGAAGGUGGGGCUCGCGAUUGGGGUG